rnacentral:lncRNA from 1 species
GCCGUUUAUAGCACUAAUUUGAGAGGUGAUCGAUGCCCAAUAGAUGUCGUGGUGCUCCUAGGAUGUCGGCUAGCUUGUAAUAUUGUUGCAGCAUUGUUGUGGCAUUGAGUAAACUUCAAUAGCCACCUUCAAGGAAAAAAUUGCCUAUUUUAGCAUGGAAGUUGACCAAAAAUGUAACAUUCAAGUAAAACCUUUCAAUAUCAG